GGUCGCAUCACGUUGAACCCCGGUUCCUGUACGAUCACCGAAGUUAAGUAACGUCGAACUUGGCCAGUACCUAGAUGGGUGACCGCUUGGGAAUACCAGAUUCUGUA